rfam:Gossypium arboreum cultivar AKA8401 contig_5237_1, whole genome shotgun sequence.
AACCAAUGAUGAGGACACAUUCUCAAAAGAUCCUUAAACCUCUCCCAUGCAUCAUAUAAUGUCUCCAACUCAAUUUGAGCAAAAGAAGAAAUGUUGUUUCUCAACUU